UCCUGAUGCUCAGAUGGUAAAGAAUCUGCCUGCAAUGCAGGAGACCCAGGUUCUAUCCCUGGGUCAGGAA
rfam:TPA: Bos taurus chromosome 13, whole genome shotgun sequence.